CUAGAUACAAUUUACAGCAAUGUCACCCUCCUGCAGGAACUUUCGCUUGGUCCUCUGGUCCGAGAUUUGUUUUAUUGCUCCCCAAACCCUAGGCAGAUGCUUUUUCACCCCUGAGCUGCGGGAUGGAGUUUUUCAGCCACUCCUGAUGGAGGGACAGCCUCUUCAGGAUCCCUGGAGGAAGCCUAGAAGCUGGUGAGCGAGGCCAUUGCAUCUGGCAUCUUCAAUGACUUGGGGUCUGGAAGUAACAUUGACCUCUGUGUCAUCAGCAGGAGCAAGCUGGACUUUCAAUAAAUAUGCUGCAAUGAAUAAAUAUUUCA